CUGCCCUUCACUCUGGGACAAGCCCUGGAAACGGGGUCUAAUACCGGAUAACACUCCCGCCCGCAUGGGCGGGGAUUGAAAGCUCCGGCGGUGAAGGAUGAGCCCGCGGCCUAUCAGCUUGUUGGUGAGGUAGUGGCUCACCAAGGCGACGACGGGUAGCCGGCCUGAGAGGGCGACCGGCCACACUGGGACUGAGACACGGCCCAGACUCCUACGGGAGGCAGCAGUGGGGAAUAUUGCACAAUGGGCGCAAGCCUGAUGCAGCGACGCCGCGUGAGGGAUGACGGCCUUCGGGUUGUAAACCUCUUUCAGCAGGGAAGAAGCGCAAGUGACGGUACCUGCAGAAGAAGCGCCGGCUAACUACGUGCCA
rnacentral:rRNA from 1 species